rnacentral:rRNA from 1 species
GACAGAGGGUGCUAGCGUUGUUCGGAAUUACUGGGCGUAAAGGGCGCGUAGGCGGUCUGUUAAGUUCGGUGUGAAAUCCCCUGGCUCAACUGGGGAACUGCGCUGGAAACUGGCAGACUUGAGUACCGGAGAGGAGAGUGGAAUUCCUGGUGUAGCGGUGAAAUGCGUAGAUAUCAGGAGGAACACCUGUUGCGAAGGCAGCUCGCUGGGACGUUACUGACGCUGAGACGCGAAAGCGUGGGGAGCAAACAGG